rnacentral:rRNA from 1 species
CCUACGGGAGGCAGCAGUGGGGAAUAUUGGGCAAUGGGCGCAAGCCUGACCCAGCAACGCCGCGUGAAGGAAGAAGGCUUUCGGGUUGUAAACUUCUUUUAAGAGGGAAGAGCAGAAGACGGUACCUCUUGAAUAAGCCACGGCUAACUACGUGCCAGCAGCCGCGGUAAUACGUAGGUGGCAAGCGUUGUCCGGAUUUACUGGGUGUAAAGGGAGCGUAGACGGCGAGGUAAGCCUGAAGUGGAAGCCCGCGGCCCAACCGCGGAACUGCUUUGGGAACUGUUUUGCUGGAGUAUGGGAGGGGUAAGCGGAAUUCCUGGUGUAGCGGUGAAAUGCGUAGAUAUCAGGAGGAACACCGGUGGCGAAGGCGGCUUACUGGACCAUAACUGACGUUGAGGCUCGAAAGCGUGGGGAGCGAACAGGAUUAGAUACCCUUGUAGUC